AACGCACAUUGCGCCCCUUGGUAUUCCGAGGGGCAUGCCUGUUCGAGCGUCAUUAUGACCACUCAAGCCUGGCUUGGUAUUGGAGUUCGCGGUCCCGCGGCUCUUAAAAUCAGUGGCGGCGCCAUCUGGCUCUAAGCGUAGUAAUCUAUCUCGCUACAGAGUCCCGGUGGAUGCUUGCCAGUAACCCCCUAUUUUCUUAGGUUGACCUCGGAUCAGGUAGGGAUACCCGCUGAACUUAA
rnacentral:misc_RNA from 1 species